CCCAAGAUGUCUAUGGCAAAGCCGGCUGU
rnacentral:piRNA from 1 species